GAUGAACGCUGGCGGCGUGCCUAAUACAUGCAAGUCGAGCGAACGGACGAGAAGCUUGCUUCUCUGAUGUUAGCGGCGGACGGGUGAGUAACACGUGGAUAACCUACCUAUAAGACUGGGAUAACUUCGGGAAACCGGAGCUAAUACCGGAUGAUAUUUUGAACCGCAUGGUUCAAAAGUGAAAGACGGUCUUGCUGUCACUUAUAGAUGGAUCCGCGCUGCAUUAGCUAGUUGGUAAGGUAACGGCUUACCAAGGCAACGAUGCGUAGCCGACCUGAGAGGGUGAUCGGCCACACUGGAACUGAGACACGGUCCAGACUCCUACGGGAGGCAGCAGUAGGGAAUCGUCCGCAAAGGGCGAAAGCCUGACGGAGCAACGCCGCGUGAGUGAUGAAGGUCUUCGGAUCGUAAAACUCUGUUAUUAGGGAAGAACAGAUGUGUAAGUAACUGUGCACAGCGUGACGGUACCUAAUCAGAAAGCCACGGCUAACUACGUG
rnacentral:rRNA from 1 species